rnacentral:rRNA from 1 species
AACGAACGCUGGCGGCGUGGAUAAGACAUGCAAGUCGAACGAUUAUCACCGGGUAGCAAUAUUCGGUGGUGAGAGUGGCGCAAGGGUGCGUAACACGUGGGUAAUUUGCCGUGAAGUCUGGAAUAACUUGCUGAAAGGCGAGCUAAUACCGGAUGUGAUUUUUGGAAGGCAUCUUCUGAAACUCAAAGUCGGGGACCGCAAGGCCUGACGCUUCUCGAUAAGCCCGCGGCCUAUCAGCUAGUUGGUGAGGUAGCGGCUCACCAAGGCUAAGACGGGUAGCUGGUCUGAGAGGACGACCAGCCUCACUGGAACUGAGACACGGCCCAGACUCCUACGGGAGGCAGCAGUGGGGAAUAUUGGACAAUGGGCGCAAGCCUGAUCCAGCGAUGCCGCGUGUGUGAAGAAGGCCUGCGGGUUGUAAAGCACUUUCAGUAGGGAAGAAAGCCGAGUGCUAAUAUCAUUCGGUCUUG